UUGUAAACAACUGGUCCAAUUCAAAAUUGUUGAUGUUGCGUCUCAGGAGCUGUUGAGACACCCUGGAAACAGCAUCGGCCAUUAUCGAUACACAUCCGCCCUCUUACGUCAAGUGUGCAUCCGAUUCGACCUCAUUAUCCCACCAUGGGACAUUUUUCGCAAUUAUCUUUAACUUUAAGAUGUAAUCCAUUAAAAUUUCGUUAUAUUUUUAUAAGCAACCUUACUGGCAUCUACAUUCAAGUUUUAUAAGUGAAUUAUCUAAAGUUAAAAUAAAUUAAGUGGUGUUGGAAACCUUUCUCUUAUUGACCAUCGAGGGGCCCCAGAGCAUCACGAGGUUACCAAGGAGGACAUACACCUAUCCGAAAAUUGUCCCUUCUCCCGGAGGGGCUCGUUGCACUAAUACUUCUGCUUGUAUUUCCAAGGUAACCACCAAUUGAAUCUCUCUUUCUGGGGAGCCUCCCAGGCUGCAUUCAUUCUUCUAAUCCUGACCAUAUAUUCCAAGGUAUGUUUCAUACAUAAAAUUUAUGUAUAGAACAUACCUUUGUAACGACAGUUAAGAAGAAACACAGAUUAGGAAAAUACAGCGUUGGAACUUCCUGGAUUCGGUUGGGCAUCAAUCAUACCUUUGGAUUGUACAGGGCAGAGAUUAGCAAUAAUGAAGACAAUAGAUAUCCCAGUGUAGCCGGGCAGGAGAAGUCAUUUACCUUUGGAGAUACAGGUGAGAAAUACAUUAGUAGCCUUUCUGGUGAGAAGGAACAAUUUUGGUUUCUCGUAGCUCCCGUAGAUGCCGGAUGUCUGGGUGUUCUGAAGGGGCCGGAUGAGAUGGAGAAGAAAAAUGCACGGAUUUUUCCCAACACCAAUUUUAAUGUAAUUCACAUCAAAGUUUGAAAUAUAAAUUGUGGCGCGAGACGCCUUUGAUUCACUUUAUAAUGUUACUAUAAAAUCUAAGCCCGAUGGGACUAACGAGGCUUGAUAAAAAUUAAUUUCCCAAAAAAAGAGUUUGGGACUCGUGGUUGCCAUGAAGUAUACUGACGGAAGGAAGUAACAAAGAUAGAAAAAUGAUGGCGGUUAAAAAUUGCAAA